UGUGAAUAAGUGAGUAAGCCACUUUGAUUCUUUGGAACUAAUUUUCCUCAUUUGUAAAAAUGAGGAGCUGAGACGAGAUUAGGAAGGGAAAAAGUAUUAUACCUACACAUUCACUAACCUUAACUGAAUGUAGCAUUUCCUACAAUUUAAAGACAGGAUUCUGAAAUGUCCAUACAUUUCACUGGAUUGGCAAAAUUGUCCAUGACACAAAGAGAUGAAGAACUGUGCUACUAGAUGGUGGCUGAUGUCCCUUCUAACUUUCGACCUAUGAUCUGUAGGGGAACUUGGUUAGCAAGAGAAGUUAUCAAAGGAAUAUGGUGGCAAGGCAAAUGCAUUGGUUUAUGGACCUUUGUAAAGAUCAUCAUUCAGAGUUGUCAGAAGACUUCAAUGACCCUGGAGGAAAGAAUGAGGCUGAUGACUUCAUGCAAGUCUGACUAA
rnacentral:lncRNA from 1 species